CUUGAUUUCACGAAAGGUGUUUUCAAUGGCUGCUCUGGCUAUUUCAUGUUUUUCAACUUCUUGGGUAAUUCCAUCAAUUUUGUGAUCUGUUUUCCACGCCUCACGUUCUAGUUUUUCAAAAGCGUUUUGCAGUUCUUCAACGGCGUUUGACGUUGAUUUUGUUUCCCAAAGCGUCUCGUUGAUUAGUGACGCGUGCACUUCCAAUGCGUGAGCGAUUGAAGUGGUUUCUGUUGAUAACUUUUCAACAUGAUUGUUGACGUGUUCUAGAUCUUCUUCAGUUGACACCCCAAAGAGCCAAUUGAGAACUUUUCCUCCUCCAUCGAUUAGGCCUCUUUUCUUACGGGUUUUUUAAUUCUGCUCGUGCUCGUUCCUCGACUUCUUCUUUUAUCCGUUUUUUAAACCCGUCGUUUGGACCUUCGUAUCUGAAGUUCAGAGUGUUGACCUUUCUUCCUAAUACAUCAUGUAGAGUUUUAA